GACAUGGAUUCUGAAGAUGAGGAAUGGCUAAAAAAGUUCAGUAAUGAAUUAUUUGUUGAAAAUAAGCACCAAGAGCAUCUUUCAGAGGAUGCUUUUGAGCUAAUGAUUGAUGCCUUUGAGAAGGCUUUUUAUUGCAGUCCAGAUGAUUUUGCUGAUGAGCAAGCGGCUAUAAAUCUUUGUAUAGAUUUGGGAAGGAGAGAAGAAGUUGAAGCUGUGUAUGGUUAUUGGAUGAAAAAACGGAAGCAGAGACGAUUAGCACUGCUUAGGGUUUUUCAGGGACNNNNAAAAGAAAGCUCCACUGAUUCCAAAACCUGUUUUACGUAAAAGAAGGUCAUUUAAGCGACAGGCCAGCCAAUUUGGAAGAGGCAAGCAGCCUAAUCUGUUGCAAGCAAUGGCUGCUGAUCAUGAUGCUUUGACAGAACGUAAUGCUUUGCGUAAAUUAGAAGCAGCUAGAACUGCAGCAAAGAGAUCUAUGGAAUCAGCUAUUCUUAAACGCCGAUGGGCUCAAAUUCUUAUGGAGAAUGCGGAUUUGGCAAUUUACCAAGCUAAAAUGGCACUCACAAUUGCCGAAGGUGCCCACAUAGCCAAUUCAACGGAUAUGGCUGUCCAAGACUUCUUUGAUUGACGGGCAUGGGUAAUAAUAACUGGCCAUAUAUAAUACUUCUUGAGAUGGCCAGUUAUUAUUACCCAUGCCCGUCAAUCAAAGAAGUCUU
rnacentral:misc_RNA from 1 species